ACUUAAAUUGAAGAGUUUGAUCAUGGCUCAGAUUGAACGCUGGCGGCAGGCCUAACACAUGCAAGUCGAGCGGUAGCACAGAGAGCUUGCUCUCGGGUGACGAGCGGCGGACGGGUGAGUAAUGUCUGGGAAACUGCCUGAUGGAGGGGGAUAACUACUGGAACGGUAGCUAAUACCGCAUAA
rnacentral:rRNA from 1 species